AACAAACAUGCACUUCGUGCAUAUUUGAAAUCACGGGUGAGAUUGAUGAAAUCAUGGUGACACACUAUAUAUUGUAUUUCUAGGUGAUUAUUUUCUUAGAAAAUAGGAAGAAGAAAAAAAUAUUCAUACUAGUACUUUAGUUACCAGAACUGCUUGGUGAAAUAUAGUGGUGUGGAGUCUCCUUGAUUCAUUUGCAUGUCAAAUGAUAUAACAGAGUUCUCUGUUUUUUAUCAUUUCGAUUUUUAUGACCAUGAAAUGAAGUUUGAAUUUUUUUUGCUAAAGUAGCCCUUAAGUCUGUAUGUGUUUGGCUGCGAAUUUGAUUCUCUAUAUAAAUGAUUAGCUAAAACGUUCAGUCUAAAAUAACUUUGAUAUAAUUUAUUGUAUUUUUUUAUACUUAUUUUGUAAAAUUCUCUAUAAAUGAUUAGCUAAAAUGUUCAGUCUAAAAUAACUUUGAUAUAAUUUAUUGUAUUUGUUUAUACUUAUUUUGUAUUAUUUAAUGGUGAAAUCAACUUAAACAUACUAAUCUGUAUUCUUUCAAUUCCAUGAUAAUGUUUUGAAUGAAUCGGGGCAUGGCGUAGUUUAUUAUGCGAUUUGUGGUUAAUCUAACUAACUAACUAGCAUAUGAUUUGAGAAGGUUGAUGAAGCUACUCACAAGUUCAAUGAGCAUGCUCCUCAUAUUGCUAAGCAGCUGGCGGAUCAAUCCAAAAGUUUGAUUCAGAAAGUAUCAUAUGAGGCAGGGAAAG
rnacentral:lncRNA from 1 species